GGUUAGGCCCGUGGGCGGGAACUAUUUAAGGCGGGCGGAAGCUUCAGCCAAUGGGAAAGCGCAGACACAGAGCAGUUCCGGUGGGAGUGCUUUCGCGGGGAGUUGAAAAAAAGCAGGGCUAACGACGUCUACUCUGCUUUCUGGCUGCGGAGGUUGGACGUUGCUUGCAAUAAGUUAAAGAGAGGAGUUAGGAGUGCUAUGUUUCAGCCAGUCUUCAUCAAGCAUUCCCGCUUUUUUUCAGGCUUUCUGUGAACUUUUUAGACUGAGAUUCUUCUGUCCCCAGGGGCUCCUGCAACCCUUGGAGCACCACCUCCAUCCUCAACCCCACCCUGGUCACAGGAGUUAAUAUUUUCUUCCCCCAGGUUCCCAAAGAUGCUGGAGAAGAACUCAUUGAUAAGGUGCUCUUAAACCGAAACGGGACUGACUUGAUAGGGAUGAACCACAUCUAGUGGAUAUCUACAGAAAGAAUGUUCAAGCAGAGGGACAGAAUAUUCGAUUGCUCUGAGGCUGCAGUCCAGCUAAUCCAACAUUGGCUGGCUGUGAAUGGAAAGUCUAAGAAUCUAGUAGUUGUUCAGUCCCACAGGGCUGAGUGUCUCAGCUGGUCUCCUGUGUAUGCUGGAAUCCCGAAGAAGUAGGCUCCAAUGCCACUGAAGGAAUGGAUAUGCUAGCAAGGUGAGGGCAAGCAGGCAAAAAGGACAAAACCUUCCUUCUUCCAUAUAGGCUUCUAGCAGAAGGUGUAGCCCAGAUUAAAAGUAUGUCUUUCCACCUCAAGAUCUGGAUUAAAAGCAUGUGUUUUCCUGCCUCAAGAUCUGGAUUAAAGGUGUGUGUCUUCCCACCUCAAGAUCCCAAUCAGAGGCGUGUGUCAUCCUGCCUCAAGAUCCAGAUCAAAAGCCUGAGUCUUCCAGCCUCAAGACCCAGAUCAAAGUCACAUUGUCUUCCUGCCUCAAGAUCCAAUCACAGGUGUGCCUUCCAUUUCUGGAUGGUAGUUCAUUGCAGGUAUAGUCAAGUUGACAACUAAGAAUAGCCAUCCAGGGUUUUUAAUUUU